GGGGAAGCGGGAGCUUUUAUUUUCGGGCUAAGGGGAAAAUAGAAAAGAAAGAAAAAGCAAAAGAGGGAAUUCCCCCGCCCGCCACCGAGGGGAUAAAAGGGCAUCGGGCGGCACCGCAGGAGGAGAAGCGGCGAGGACGGCAGAGCGGAGCGGCGGUGCCCGGCCAGGAGCAGCUCGGUUGGAAGGGUGCUACUGAGAUCAGAGAAUCAUGGAAUCAUGGGGGUCAGAAGGGACUUCUGGACAUCAUCCAGUUCACUUUCCUGGUAGAGCAGAAUCCCUACAGCAGGUGAUCAAGUUCAACUACUGACCAAUUUGAGACUCACUGAAAUUUAACGCAUGAUACUGAAGGCAUUAUCCAAAUGCCUCUGAAAUACACUACAAAACUUUAAAUGGACCAUCAAGACUUUCUCUUAGUGCUCUCUUUCCCUACUCAUCCAGCUGUGCAGCACCCUCGGCAGAGGCUGUGGUGGCUGGGAAUUGGGGCAGGAUGAGGGCCUGCUCCCUGGGAAAGAAUGUGGACCUGAUCCCUAGGCAGGAUGCAGACCUGCUUCCCACGGCAAGAUACAGACCUGAACUCCAGGGCACAGUGUGGGCCUGCUCCAGGCUGCUGGGGUCCAAGAGCCAGCAAUCUGUCUCUGGCUUUUCCUGUGGGUGAGAAGCAGUUCGAUCUCCACAUUAGUGCUGUGAAGGACUUUGAUGCAGGUGUCCUGCUAACUGCAUGGAAGUGUCUGAGCUGCUUGAUGGCUGUUUGGUGCCUUACAGAAGAGUGCUGUGAGUGGGAGAAAAAAAUACUGCAGCCAGGAUAAGCGAUGGAAAGCCUGCUUCUGCUUCAAUAAGCCUUAAAAGAAAGAAGGAAUUGGGCCACUGUCCAGUAUUGGGGAGUCAUGCCACUCAACUACCUACACCUAUACACCUUACUUGUUGCAAGGAUAUCCUCCUGAUUCAGGAAAUCAUUCUUCUCUGUGUUCCAUCAUAUUCAACUGAAGAAUAUAAAGCACUGACUGGACUUGCUCAGAACAAGAUAAUUCAAUGCAGUAAAAGGCAAGUGGAAUUUAAAUUGCACUCUGUGUUUGAGAUGGGUGUUUAAAAUUCAGUGUGCUGCAUCAGCUUCUAAGACUUUAUUAAUCUUGGUUUAGAAUUUAUUUAUAUGAUCAUUCUUAACUUUUACUUCUCUCAUUAGCUCUGAAAAUGGAAGGCCAGUGCUAACAGAUCAUUAAAAACCUUUAUCAGGGUUUCUGGAAACUUACUAUGAAAUGUUGCAUAAGGAAAAGAAAUUGAAAUAUUUUUCUCAUGAUUUGUUAUAAAUUAUGUUAUCUAUUUAUUUCAGAUAAACCCUAUAGAAUCCAUUUUUUCCAAUCCCCUGGUCCUUGUUGCACUCUUAUUCAUAUUUGCUUGUCUUUUUCACUUGAGUAGCAAAGCAAGAAAAGUCUGAAUCCUAAAACCAUGAAAUCCUAUUUUUCUACAAUGAGAGGACAAUGUGGAUAUAUUUUAGAUUGUUUCGCAGCACUAAUGCCUUAUUUGUGGUUGAAACUGUAACUCUAGGGUAGAAAAUUAAAAUUUUGGAGAGUAAAAUACCAAUGUAUCUUUGAAUUACAGUUGGAAAUUUCUCUUUUUCAAAAAAAUUGAAGCCUGCCUGUAGCAUUGUGGUUUGCCUACAAAUAACAGUUUUAUAUACUACAGUAAAAGAUUUGAUGAGAAUCAUAGUUAGAUAAGGCAGUUCUCCAGUGUCAUCUUAUAUCCUGCACAACCUCAAACAAUGGUUUGAUGACAGCCAGCUUGGAGGAGAUAUAAUGUUAUCUGUGGUACUGGGGCAUCAUUGCUUGAGUUAUUAUUUGCCUUAUCAGAACCUGUUCCAUCAUCCUUGGAUGUAACCUAAACAAAAACUUUAAUAAGGCUAACUGAACAAUCAGAGACUGCUUUUGCUGGAGGUGAUUUAGUAUUCUCCCAUAACAUCUGCGUGACUUUCCUUCCUCUUGUGCUCUUCUUGUACAGGAGUGACGCUUGAGAGGAGAUCAAGUGCUGUCUGGAAUGCAAGGAGAAGCCUUCUCCUUUCCUGGCAGCCAGGAAAUAUUCCAAGUGACACAGAAACAGAUGGAAAGUCAUCCUCUUUUGAAAAGACAUAUAAUUUUGACACUUUUCACACUGGAUGCCUGCUCUGCUCUUAUAGUAUGCAUGUUUGCCAAAAAAAGUAACUUAUUUGACAGAGAAAAUGGAGAAUAAAAAAGAGGCAGCUAAAACCUUACAAAACUGAUUUACCACUUGGCCUAAACUGACAACAGUCCAUCCUGAUCAUUUUUCACUAUGGACAGAUGAUUCCUCUGUGGCAUGAUAGAAAAUAUUGCGCAUGAUCACAGUAGCUAUUUCAGCAUAACAGGAUUUAAAUGGAAAAUCUAUGGUGAAAUUUGACUCAUCUGAUCAGUGCUACUAUAGAAAACUACUUCUCAGCACCACAUAGUUCAACUCACAACUGGUUGCAUUCUUGCUUUGCAUGUCCUUCCUUCUUUGUUCCUGCACCCUUUUUCCAUUUAUUAUGCAGUCCUGUCCUUGUACAAUCUUUGGAUAGAGUUUUAAUUCAAGAACAAUUAUUAAAUCUAGAAAAGGUUUUUGCAGAAGCAUGUAUAUCAUUUCUAUCUUGUGCUGAAGGUGACUGCUUGAACCCCUUCAUUUCAGCUUUAUCUUUUUCUUAUGUAUUUGAUCCUUCCUGUAGUAAUGCUAAGUUCUCCUCUCAGGCAUUAGUCCUAAAACUUAUCUUGAAGAUAACAUUGUUAGUUCACUGAAAAAUUACAUUUGAUUCAAACAACUAUGAAGUAAGAAAGUGUUUCUUUUACAACAACAAAAAUUGGUUCUAAUUUUGAAAGACAACAUAAUGACAUGUGCAUAGGAUGUUAAGCAUCCACUUGUUUCUCCCUUCUGUUUUAUAGGAAAUACAGUUAUCAUCUUUAGAUGUAAAGUUUAUCACAGUGUGCAAGGAAGAGCUUUGUGAUUGAUGCAUUCUCGAAGGUGCAGUUUAGCUUUUCUGUGGCCUCUUGAGGUUUCAGUGUUUUUCAGGAGGUUUUCAGUUUGUGGUCAUCUGCCAUUGGUGACUCAAGUUAUCUCAUUCAUCUCAAAAUUCAGGCUGCUUUUCAGAAGAAUUUAUAGGUAGAUAAAUCUUUGAAACGCAUCCUAGCAAUUUAAACCACAUCCACACUUGCUUAAAUCUAGACAAAAAAUAGGUAAACAGAUUUUUUAUCAUUUGAACAUGAAAAUAAUUCAAUGAACAAGGAAAAUCACAUCAAAAUAAAAUAUUCUGCAAAAAAAAAAAUUGUCUAGAGCAGGCACAGUGUAGUGAAAGUGAACUGUACAGACUGGGAAAGCAAGAAUGGACUCAUUUAAGUACUGCAACAUCACUGCAAGGAGCAGAAAAUGUAUGAAUUUGUUUUUAAACUGAUGUGUUUUCUGUCUUACAAAGUCAGAACAUAAAAGUAAUAUCUCAAACACUUCAUUAUUAAGAAGUCACUACUGACAGUGGAUUUACAAAUGUUACUCAGUCUUUACUGGAAUUGUGUAUAAAUAUAUAACACGUCUAUUUUGCAGUUGUUAGAAGAAUGCUCCACCACACUUUUCCCAUGAUACAUAGAUCCUCCACAGCCCUUCAUACAGCAGGCAUAACCUUCAGAAACUGCUUCAACAAAAGACAGGGGAAGAGAUUAAAAGGUGGAAUGUGUUUUAUCCACACAGUCCUUUAGUGACAACAAAAAGAGAUUGUGAAAGUGUCUCCAAAUGGAUAUGAAAAUAACUCAUUUCUACUUCCAGCCUCUGAAUAUUGUCAGGAUGGGUAGGAAUAAUAUAAAUUCUCAUAUAAAUAAAAGUCAGACUACCAAGGCAAUCUAGCUUCUCUUACAAGAAGACACAAGUUCUUUGAAGCCACCAAGAUCUCAUCCAUUUGCAUUGUGACUAUUCUUUCCCAAAUUCCCUUUUACAGCUGAAUAAAUUGCUUGGUAAAUGUGCUCAAAUUGUGAACAUACUGUGUUGACAAAGAUAACACAAAUUUGUGUCAAAGCAGCUCAAUCACGAACUGCACAUAAAAACAGAUAUUUUAAGAUCAAACUUCUUCCAAUUUUUUUGUUUCUGGACGAUGCAGUUUACAUCUUCUAAGAGUUGCUCAAUUUUUUAAAAUUUAUUUAUUUUUAAUUUUCAAGUUUACCACAGUACAUGCUGCAAAACCCUGUAAUCACUUUUAUUUCAGAGUUUUCUCAUGGUUUACCUUUAGCAUCUCAUACAAAUGAAAAACGUUUUUUCAAGUUUUCUUCCUCUAAACAGUCCUAUUUAAUACAUGUAUUUAUUGGUGCAUUUCUGUCUUUGGAAGAUAAAUGGGAUAUAAUAAUGUGCACCGUCUGGGAAGUGGACAGCCUGGAUAAACUUGCAGUGGGUUUCUUUUGCUCACAGCUGCACUAAGUGAAAUAUAUGCUCCCUCUUUGCAGAGCAUCUUUCCUUUUUUUUUUUUUUUUUUUUUUUUUUUUUUUUUUUUUUUUUCUGAGGCUGGAAAUCCCUGUAAGUGACAAAGAUGGGUGAGGGAAGGCAGCCCCUCCCCAGAGACACGGACAUGUCUGAUGUCUGCUUUCAGAAAGCCUCCAGGGUGCUCUGUGGUCUCAAUGAGAAAAGUCUGGACAAUGGCAGGAGCCUUUAACAUGAAAGUGUGCUAAACACUUCUCAUAGCACAUAAUAUAUGGAACACUUUGGACCUCCAAAGAUAUAUAAAUAUGCAUUAGAUCCCCAAACAGAGAUGUGAGAAACUGAAAUACAAUAUCUUCUUUUUGAGACAUGCAUGAAGCAGAAGGACAUACCUGGGGGAUGUGAACAUCGGGGGAAUCAGCUUCAGGUCUAGGCUGUCACUUGUAGGACACCUUGGAAGACUGCAAGAGGCAGGAAGAGAGGGAAGAAAUUAUCCAUGAAGAAGAAGGAAUCAUGGGGCACCCCACAAAAAUUGGCCAGGGACUCCCUGAGAUCUGAAUGGAGGCCAGGGUGCAACACAGCAAGGAGGUGCGCAGGGUUUUUCACUGCAGACUCAAUCGUCUUAUCUUACCUCCUACCUUUUUCUCAGUCCACUUGCAUAUUCAUGUCUGAACUCCCACUGUAUAACCUGUCAAUAAACCUCUCCUCUGAUAUUAAUCAAAAAGCUUGUCUUUUGUCAUAGGUCUAUGUUAUGGAGAGGCAAUCCUCCCCCAGGGGACAUUUGCCUCAGGAGAAGCUUCUUAGUUCCACUGGAAAAGCAAGCUCUUCAGGAGGUCCCCGGGUAGCCAAAGAUGUCUUUUUAUCACACAGUGAACAGAUAGUGUUUUAUUCCUCUACUGAAAUGUUCCCUGAUACAUUAGCAUGCCUCAUGUUCCUACUUUGAUCUAAAGAUUUUCUAAUACCCGUUUUCUGUGGAAUUAGUAUACCUCCAUUUACAGUGGUCCCGACUAUGUCUUGGAGGACAAAAUAGAUAGCCUGUUUGUAUUGCCGUAUACAAAUUGUUGUGUCAACAGGAUGGUGUUUUGAGUAGAAAACUCAAUAUUCAGUGACAUGGAUACAUAAUCUAGGGAAAAAAAAAAUGAAACAGUUCUUGUACUGCUAUCCCAUCUGCCCUGCAGAAAGGGAUUUGGAGCCUUAGACUCCCUAAAGAAUGGUUUUACAUCAUCUACCUUGAAGUCAGAAAUAAUUUGUAAGCAGUCUUGUGAAACAUGUGAGUCAAGGUUUGGUGGGUUCUGAGCCCAAGUCCUGGCCACAACUUUGGUACUGGGGACAAUUAAAGAAAUAUAACAUUAUUCUUUUGGAGUCAGAAUAUAUUGCUCAUCACUACACAACCGUGAGUAACUGAAGCCAGGAAUGAAUGGAGGAAUAUGAGAUUAUGGAUGGUGUUGUUAAAUUUCUGCCUGGACUUGGAAACAGUUUCCUGUAGAGAAACACUGUGCUAACUCACUUCAUGAAAACAGCCUGAGAGAAGACAAAACAUUGCAACUCACUUGCCAUUUUUUUGAAGAUAAAAGAUAUAUUUGUCUAACAAUUUACUUGUCUAGUUUCGAGCCCACCUGCAGUAGCCCCUACCUAGCAUAGUAAGUUGAUAGAAGCAAGAAAACUGGAUUCCCUGUCUUUUCAGAUAUAUUUCUAUACAAGCAGCUGUGCCUACUGGAACAAUCCAGUUAUUUUGUUCUAUUUGACAGUUUCACAGCCCUCAGAAAUUACAUAAACUGGCCUUAAUAUGAACCACUCUGGCACCCUUCCCUUUGCUGCUGCAGCUCAGACAAAGAUGGCAUGAAGUUGAGCACAGUCUAAGUAUACAUUUAUGUGAACAUGCCCACAGCCUAAAAGGAAUUGCCAUUAAUGACCUGUUGUUUCCUGGCAACUCCUUAAAAACAUGUUUUCCAGAGCAAAAAUAGGUUCAUUUUAAGUGAAUCUCAAAGGAACUCAGAAGAGAGGAGAGGAGAAAAAAAAAGAGAAAAAUGUGCCGUUUGAAAUUGCCCUCUUUGGGCAUCUUUUAAAAGAUAAAUCUAUGUUUAUCACUCUGGAAUUACUUUUUUUCUUUAGAAAUUUAAGCUGACUAGAGUGAAACUAUUUUUUAUCUGCCGUCUUGAACUGGCUUCACACAGUUACUGUGACUUAAGCAAGCCAGGAUUUGCUGAAACAUGGUUGACAGAGAGUCAGUGAAGGCUAGUUUUGAUUCUGUUUUCUGUGAUGUCACUUAUGACCAGAAGCUGCAAAGCAUGUAACUGCUGGAUUUAAAUAGAACUGAUAAAAGCUCUUGUGCCUGUACUUCAUUUCAACAUAUCUUGAAAGCACUGGACUUCUGCCAUUGUCUUCACUGGGAACAGAAACUCUCAGUUUAUUGAAGCCUUAUUAUUUUUUUUAAUGCUCCAAGAAUAUUGGGAGGGGGAAUAUUUCUAUGAAAGCCAUUGAAAAAUUUAGUAAAAUAAAGAAUUAUUAUAAAUGAGGAUUUUAAUUUGUCCAGACUAUAACUCAGGGGGCAGCAAGAAUGUCUUCUUACAGAGCUUGAAAGAGAAUCAUAGAAUCAGUCAGGUUGGAAAAGACCUUAAAGAUCAUCAAAUCCAACCAC